UACGUAGGGUGCGAGCGUUGUCCGGAAUUACUGGGCGUAAAGAGCUCGUAGGUGGUUUGUCACGUUGUCCGUGAAAACUCACAGCUUAACUGUGGGCGUGCGGGCGAUACGGGCAGACUGGAGUACUGUAGGGGAGACUGGAAUUCCUGGUGUAGCGGCGGAAUGCGCAGAUAUCAGGAGGAACACCGGUGGCGAAGGCGGGUCUCUGGGCAGUAACUGACGCUGAGGAGCGAAAGCGUGGGGAGCGAACAGG
rnacentral:rRNA from 1 species